AGUGAACGCUGGCGGUAGGCCUAACACAUGCAAGUCGAACGGCAGCACAGUAAGAGCUUGCUCUUACGGGUGGCGAGUGGCGGACGGGUGAGGAAUACAUCGGAAUCUACUUUUUCGUGGGGGAUAACGUAGGGAAACUUACGCUAAUACCGCAUACGACCUACGGGUGAAAGCAGGGGAUCUUCGGACCUUGCGCGAUUGAAUGAGCCGAUGUCGGAUUAGCUAGUUGGCGGGGUAAAGGCCCACCAAGGCGACGAUCCGUAGCUGGUCUGAGAGGAUGAUCAGCCACACUGGAACUGAGACACGGUACAGAAUCCUACGGGAGGCAGCAGUGGGGAAUAUUGGACAAUGGGCGCAAGCAUGAUCCAGCCAUACCGAGUGGGUGAAGAAGGCCUUCGGGUUGUAAAGCCCUUUUGUUGGGAAAGAAAAGCAGCAGGUUAAUACCCCGCUGUUCUGACGGUACCCAAAGAAUAAGCACGGGCUAACUUCGUG
rnacentral:rRNA from 1 species